rnacentral:rRNA from 1 species
CUUCGGGUUGUAAACCUCUUUUAUCGGGGAGCAAGCGAGAGUGAGUUUACCCGUUGAAUAAGCACCGGCUAACUACGUGCCAGCAGCCGCGGUAAUACGUAGGGUGCAAGCGUUAUCCGGAAUUAUUGGGCGUAAAGGGCUCGUAGGCGGUUCGUCGCGUCCGGUGUGAAAGUCCAUCGCUUAACGGUGGAUCCGCGCCGGGUACGGGCGGGCUUGAGUGCGGUAGGGGAGACUGGAAUUCCCGGUGUAACGGUGGAAUGUGUAGAUAUCGGGAAGAACACCAAUGGCGAAGGCAGGUCUCUGGGCCGUUACUGACGCUGAGGAGCGAAAGCGUGGGGAGCGAACAGGAUUAGAUACCCUGGUAGUCCACGCCGUAAACGGUGGAUGCUGGAUGUGGGGCCCGUUCCACGGGUUCCGUGUCGGAGCUAACGCGUUAAGCAUCCCGCCUGGGGAGUACGGCCGCAAGGCUAAAACUCAAAGAAAUUGACGGGGGCCCGCACAAGCGGCGGAGCAUGCGGAUUAAUUCGAUGCAACGCGAAGAACCUUACCUGGGCUUGACAUGUUCCCGACGGUCGUAGAGAUACGGCUUCCCUUCGGGGCGGGUUCACAGGUGGUGCAUGGUCGUCGUCAGCUCG